ACACAUGCAAGUCGAACGGAGCUGAGAGGAGCUUGCUUUUCUUAGCUUAGUGGCGAACGGGUGAGUAACGCGUGAGUAACCUGCCCUGGAGUGGGGGACAACAGUUGGAAACGACUGCUAAUACCGCAUAAGCCCACGGCCCGGCAUCGGGCUGAGGGAAAAGGAUUUAUUCGCUUCAGGAUGGACUCGCGUCCAAUUAGCUAGUUGGUGAGGUAACGGCCCACCAAGGCGACGAUUGGUAGCCGGACUGAGAGGUUGAACGGCCACAUUGGGACUGAGACACGGCCCAGACUCCUACGGGAGGCAGCAGUGGGGGAUAUUGCACAAUGGGGGAAACCCUGAUGCAGCGACGCCGCGUGGAGGAAGAAGGUUUUCGGAUUGUAAACUCCUGUCGUUAGGGACGAUAAUGACGGUACCUAACAAGAAAGCACCGGCUAACUACGUGCCAGCAGCCGCGGUAAAACGUAGGGUGCAAGCGUUGUCCGGAAUUACUGGGUGUAAAGGGAGCGCAGGCGGACCGGCAAGUUGGAAGUGAAAACUAUGGGCUCAACCCAUAAAUUGCUUUCAAAACUGCUGGCCUUGAGUAGUGCAGAGGUAGGUGGAAUUCCCGGUGUAGCGGUGGAAUGCGUAGAUAUCGGGAGGAACACCAGUGGCGAAGGCGACCUACUGGGCACCAACUGACGCUGAGGCUCGAAAGCAUGGGUAGCAAACAGGAUUAGAUACCCUGGUAGUCCAUGCCGUAAACGAUGAUUACUAGGUGUUGGAGGAUUGACCCCUUCAGUGCCGCAGUUAACACAA
rnacentral:rRNA from 1 species